rnacentral:tRNA from 1 species
ACUCAAAUAGCUUAUGUUUAGAGCGUGACAUUGAAGAUGUUAAGGAGAUUUUUGUUUUUGAGUA